rnacentral:rRNA from 1 species
UGCCCAGUGACUCUGUUCAACGGCCGCGGUAUCCUAACCGUGCGAAGGUAGCGUAAUCACUUGUUCUUUAAAUGAGGACUAGUAUGAAUGGCAUCACGAAGGUUACACUGUCUCCUUUAUCUAAUCAGUGAAACUAAUCUUCCCGUGAAGAAGCGGGAAUAAAAAUAUAAGACGAGAAGACCCUAUGGAGCUUUAAACACACUGAUAAUUGCCUUGCACACUCAACUUCCAGAAAAACAACUAAAAUUCAGGCACUAUAAUCACAAGUUUUAGGUUGGGGUGACCACGGAGCACAACAAAACCUCCGUAAUGAACGGGAAUUUUCCCCUAAACCAAGGGCCACAACCCCCAGAAUCAAUAAAUUGACAUAUAUUGACCCAAUACAUU